AGUAUGAGGCGAUAACAGGUC
rnacentral:misc_RNA from 1 species